rnacentral:rRNA from 1 species
GACGUAGGGGGCGAGCGUUGUCCGGAUUUAUUGGGCGUAAAGAGCUCGUAGGCGGCUCAGAAAGUCGGGUGUGAAACCUCCAGGCUCAACCUGGAGACGCCACCUGAUACUGCUGUGGCUAGAGUCCGGUAGGGGAACACGGAAUUCCCGGUGUAGCGGUGAAAUGCUUAGAUAUCGGGAGGAACACCAGUGGCGAAGGCGGUGUUCUGGGCCGGAACUGACGCUGAGGCACGAAAGCGUGGGGAGCAAACAGG